GGACUUAGGACCAACAUAAACCGAAAGCCUUCAAAGCUUUAAACAAGAGAAAACCCUCUUAGUCCCUGC
rnacentral:tRNA from 1 species